GUGUGCUAGGUGGGGAGUCAGCGGUGCCCUGUAACCCGCAAUCCGCUAUAGCGGGGCUGAAUUCCUGCAGGAGAUCACUGAUUUUCGGAUUGAGAAAUAGUAAGCGGUGUUGAGAAUCAAGCCCGACGCAAUUGUGAGCUGUGAACUUUGUCAGAUUCGGAAGGAAGCAGCAAUAAGCAGAUCUCAUGAUGUGCCGCCGGUCAACCUGGUUUGAGCUGGCUGUUAUUGAUUUUUUUGGAAUAGGUAUCGAUUGCAGGUGCACAC
rnacentral:SRP_RNA from 1 species